UUGAGUACAACAUUGCUUUUUUAUAUUCUCGGCAAAACACACAAACGCAACGGUCGGGUCUCUUCUCUGUAGCGCACGGACGCCUUGCCACGCAAAGCAACGAAAGCAAAUGCCAAACGCCAAACGGUCGCCGAACAACUAGAAGCUAACUAAACCCGCCAGCAUUAUAUUAGAUAUGUAUAUUUACAAAUACAAGAGUGCGCUGUGAUGAUUGUGCAGCGGGCAUGUGACAUGGCUAUGUACGUGCGUACACACGUAGCCACCUGAAUUGUGGUGCCCCGAUAAGGUGAUAUGGUGGUGAAGAAAGAAAUAAAAUUAAACAUAAAAAUAAAAAUUCCAGAAUACAUAACUAAAAAGUAACACUAAUAAGGCAAUUAAAAGUAAAUGUCAGCCGAAGCGAAAUACGAAAUGAGAAUAGUGAAAUUAUGAGAUCAUGAAAGCGUUUGCGUUUUUUCCAAUCAACUUUAUUUCAAAACAAAUCAGCACGUUUUGAAGGCAAAUAAUGCGUCAUUUGAUUUAAGUUAGAACCUUUACACUAAAAGAUACUGAACAAAAAAAAAACAUUAAACGGGGGAAAAAAAUAAAAAUAAAAUCAACACGCCUGCAUCGCAAAUAUCAACAUUAGUGUUGUGAUUCCUUUGGUACUUUCUGCACAGAUUUUGCUUCAAACGUUCAAUAACAAAUUAACAACAGCCAGCAAAGGUUCGAGCGCCACUUCGCCGUCGCCGCUGUUACAGUCGUCGUCGCCGUCGCCGUUGCCGUAGCCGUAGCCGUUGUUGUCGUUCUUCCUUGUGCCUGUGAUUGCUGUGUUCACCUAUCGCACUAAGUUCUGACAUUGGAAUAUUUCAUACAAACACCAAAUUGACAGAAUACUAACUUAGUGAGCGUUAAUUUUUUUCCGUUUCUCAAACUCGUAAUUCAAAUCCAAAGAUAAAAGUACGAAAAUUGCAAUAAUAGCUAAAGAAUUCCAGGUGUAUGCCGUCAAACUCAAAUGCUUUGGAGUUCAUGUGAAGCAUGUGCCGCGGCGACGACGACCGACAACAAAUGUUCAUCAAGAGCAAACAGUAUAAUUCCACGGAUUUGUUGCCGUUGACGUUGCAUGUUUGGCGCAGUAAGUGCAACAGGAACAGUAGCCAGAACAGUAGCUAUCAACGCUAUCGCCGCUACUGCCACUUCUCGCCCAAAUUCUACAUGGGCUUGAUGUUGCUGAGAUAUUAUCUAAGAAAACUAAUUCAAAUUAUGGAUAAAUAACAUCUGUAAACUGUCCUGUUACACCAAAUCGAGAAGUUAUCCAAGAGAAAGCCGCUAACAUUUUGGUAAGUAAAUGCACAUAAAUUCUAUGCGAGCAUGUUUUGGAAGCAGAGGCAGAGGGAAAGAAAGAAGGUGAUCUCGAUAAAUUAAUAUAUUUGCUAAUUGAUUUUACUUGCUUCGAUGUACAUACAAAUGUACACUGCGUUAAAUAACUAUA